rnacentral:rRNA from 1 species
GAUUAACGCUAGCGACAGGCCUAACACAUGCAAGUCGAGGGGUAGCACGUCUUCGGACGGUGACGACCGGCGCACGGGUGAGUAACACGUAUGCAACCUGCCUUCCACUGGAAGAUAGCCCGUUGAAAGACGGAUUAAUAUUCCAUAAUACAUUGAUAUCUCCUGGUAUUAUUAGUUAAAGAUUUAUUGGUGGAAGAUGGGCAUGCGCAGGAUUAGGUAGUUGGUGACGGUAACGGCGCACCAAGCCUGCGAUCCUUAGGGGAACUGAGAGGUUUAUCCCCCACACUGGUACUGAGACAGGGACCAGACUCCUACGGGAGGCAGCAGUGAGGAAUAUUGGUCAAUGGUCGAGAGACUGAACCAGCCAAGUCGCGUGAAGGAAGACGGUACUAAGUAUUGUAAACUUCUUUUAAGAUAGAAUAAAAGACACCACGGGUUGGUGUAUUGCAAGUAUAUUUUGAAUAAGCAUCGGCUAACUCCGUGCCAGCAGCCGCGGUAAUACGGAGGAUGCAAGCGUUAUCCGGAUUUAUUGGGUUUAAAGGGAGCGUAGGUGGUUUCAUAAGUCAGUGGUUAAAUCCCGGUGCUUAACAUCGGUUCGCCAUUGAAACUGUGGGACUUGAGUAUGGACGAGGUACGUGGAAUUCGUAGAGUAGCGGUGAAAUGCAUAGAUAUUACGAAGAACUCCGAUAGCGCAGGCAGCGUACCAGGCCAUUACUGACACUGAAGCUCGAAAGUGUGGGUAUCAAACAGGAUUAGAUACCCUGGUAGUCCACACAGUAAACGAUGAAUACUCGCUGUAUGCGAUAGACAGUAUGCGGCCAAGCGAAAGCGAUAAGUAUUCCACCUGGGGAGUACGCCGGCAACGGUGAAACUCAAAGGAAUUGACGGGGGCCCGCACAAGCGGAGGAACAUGUGGUUUAAUUCGAUGAUACGCGAGGAACCUUACCCGGGCUCGAACGGCUAUAGAAUAGCGAUGAAAGUUGUUAGCCAGCAAUGGCUGUAGUCGAGGUGCUGCAUGGUUGUCGUCAGCUCGUGCCGUGAGGUGUCGGCUUAAGUGCCAUAACGAGCGCAACCCUUACCGUUAGUUACCAUCAGGUAGUGCUGGGGACUCUAGCGGGACUGCCGCCGUAAGGUGCGAGGAAGGUGGGGAUGACGUCAAAUCAGCACGGCCCUUACGUCCGGGGCUACACACGUGUUACAAUGGGCGGGACAGAGAGUUGCUUGCUAGUAAUAGUUGGCUAAUCCCGAAACCCGCUCCCAGUUCGGAUCGAAGUCUGCAACCCGACUUCGUGAAGCUGGAUUCGCUAGUAAUCGCGCAUCAGCCAUGGCGCGGUGAAUACGUUCCCGGGCCUUGUACACACCGCCCGUCAAGCCAUGGAAGCCGGGGGUACCUGAAGUACGUAACCGCAAGGAUCGUCCUAGGGUAAAACUGGUAACUGGGGC